CUCCAGCUUAGGCCCUGCCGCCUCCUACCUGGGUGACCUUGGGCAAGGCAUUUUUCCUCUCUGAGGCUCAGCUUCACCUCAGAAGGGGGGCUCGGGCCCUUAGAACAACUGCCAUUUACUGAGGACUUGCCGAGCCUUUAUGUUGAUCUGGAUUCCUCACAGCCAUUGGGUAGGUGAUGUAAGCGAGGUUCAGGGUGGCCGUGUGGCCUGUCCAAGGUCCCCAGCCAGCAGAUGGGGCGGGGGGCAAGCGGGGAGCAGGGCUGCGAGCCCAGUCCUUUCCCGCAGCUCCCAGGAGCCGGGAGGGGAGGUGGUCUAGGGGUGGUCACGAGGGAUGACCUCAGGCGGCAGAGACAUUUUUAUUUCAAUAAUGCUGAAAGUAUUUCAUGUAUAUCCCCCCCAAAAGUGUCACCAGCUCAUCAGCUCUGUGAUUUCAGAUGUUACUGCCCAGGACAAGACCAUGUAAAGCAUUAAGAUGAUUUUAUACGUACUUCUCAGUUACAGCAAAAGUCAGGAUGUAGUCCUGGGCUUGGGGCCAUUUGGGUGGUGCUGAAAACCACCAUACCCACUCCCCAGCCACAGGUAUUUGAAGUCUGGGGCGUGGCCAGUAGUUGUCAACGAUCGUUACCCUUGUGUGUUUCUUUGUCACGUUCCCAUGGCCACACUUGUGUCUGCUGUUCCCCUCCUUUCCAAGCCCCGCCCCCCCCCCCACCUGCUCUGGAUGCCCUCCCUGUUUCACAGUGACUUUUCCUUCCUGGUUCCUCACCCCGUGGGCUUGCAGGAAACUCAGCUGUCCCUGCAGUGAGGCAGGUGCUUAAAAGUAGGAUGUCCUAUCUCACUGCACAGCCUGGGCCGGCAGCUCACCCCCCUGGGCCUCUGGGGCUGCCCAAGGCAGAGUCACCCUGAGGGUGGGCUUGGCCCAGUCCUCCCUGCCUUCACCUGUUUCUCAUCGGAGUACAUGAUUUCUGACUUCUGCAUGCCCAUGCACGUGAUGGCUUCGUGGAACUCUCUCAUUUGCUCCUGGGUCGCUUGUGGCUUGUCAGCUGCAGGAGGGAGCGAGGAGACGUUGGAUCCUGCUGACGCCUCUGGGGCUCUGACCGUGGCACGGAGCACUUUCCUGUCCCCUGGCUCAGCUGGCUGCCUCCUGGACGCUCCACAGUGCCCCAGUGCAGCUCAAACCCACCUCGGCCACCAGCCCAAACCCUGCUCUCCUGUGCAACCUGUGGCUCGUCCUACUCCCUGGGGCUCUCACAGCCUAUGCUAUAGCAUCCCCAGAUACGCAGUGUGGCCUUUACUUCCAAGCCUUGGCAGCUCUCCAGCCUGCCAGACUUUACACUAGAAGGACACCAUCAGCUCUCCUGGGUCUUGAAUUGGCCAACUCACUCUGCAGAUCCUGGGACUUGCCAACGAUCAUAAUCAUGUAAGAAAUGCUCGUAUUGAAGCACUGUCCGCCAGGGCCGAAAGACUGAAACAACCCAGAUGUCCAUCAGAGGAUGAGCAGAGAACAAAAAUGCAGUAUAUCCAUACAGUAGAAUAUGAGUGAGCCAUAAAAAAGAAUGAAGUACUGUAUGGAAACAUAUACCACAAGGGGGAACCUUGAAAUCAUGAUACAUGAAAGAAGUCAAUCACAGAAGACGUAAUCAACUGAAGAUGAGCUCAUUCAUGUGGGCCCUCAUCCACUAUGACUGGUGUCCUUAUAAAAAGAUGUGCGGAGACACACGGGAGAAAGAAUGCCACGUGACUAAAGAGGCAGAGACCACGGUGCUCCAGCCGGAAGCCGAGGAAUGCCUGGGGCCACUGGAAGCUGAUCAGGGUAAGGAACCUCUCCUAGAAGCGUGGGGGAUGGGGGGCACUGGCACCACUUGGAUUUCAGACUUCCAGGCUGCAGAGCUGGGAGAGAAUGCAUUUCUGCUGUCCUAAGCCUCCAGGUUUGCGAUGCUGUUACAGCAACCCUAGGGAAGGAAUACGCCAUGGGACCCAGACCACCCCCCUUUCAGUACUCACCCCCGUGUUGACCCCAUGCCAUCUCUCA